AACAUUUCAUUUUUCCUGCAUUUUUGUCUUUUGUUCUUUUCUUUUUUUUUAUUUUUUUUUUAUACCUGCUGAGUUUGUCUUAGUUUUGUUAAUGUAGAGCCAGUAAUGCGUUAUCAUUACUGCUUUUUUUCUGCCUUGUAUAUGUUAGAUUUCUGUUGCUACCACACCACUGACGUUUGUUCAACAACAGUGGAUUUCAAUCCUGCGCCCAGAAGCCUCACUUGAAGACUCCUCACUGCGACGCUCUGUAAAUUUUAAAGCUCCCGUCCAGGAGACUGGUGGAAAUAAUGAAUACAUCUGACUGACAGAUUUACAGAUGGUGUUAAAGUGAAUUAACAGGAUGACAGGAUUACCACCACGCAGUGUGGUUGUUUGCUGCUGUGCGGUCACCCGUAUGUGGCUAUCCAUGAGGAACAACUGCUCGGGAUAAUUGUGUUUUCCUGGUGAAUUCUGAUUUUCCGCUGGCAAAACGUUUGGGAAAUCAUGCAGCACCAGGCUGGAACAGUGUUGUUUACUCAGUUUGGUGUUCCUGUGUGCUUUUUGGUGUCUUUCAAAUCGUUGUUAAAAUUGGAACUAUAUUUGACGAGCUGUAUAAUAAGUCGGUGCUGCAAAUUAAAAAAGAUGUUUUGAAUUUUUAACUAGAGCCUGACUGAGGCCACAUUUUUGGAACUGUUGGGGACUUUUAAGGAAUAAAAAGUUCUGAAUAUGUGGAAAUAAAUACACUAUUGCUAA